GUGAUAUUAACCAAUUACUUCCUAAGGAAGAUGUUGACUUCCUACACUUAUUGAUUUCUCUAGCAUAUCCAUUAUUCAUUCAAAGAAAAAGAAAGAAAAAGAGAUGGAGAAAAGAGGAAGCCAUGGGAGAUGAGGUUUUGGAGCGUUUUUGCUAAAAUCGAGCUACGGAGCUCGUUUCUCGACCAAAUUGGACGAUUUUUGUGGCUAUGGAUUCAGAACUCAAUUAUAUACUCAAGGUUCGGAAGGCCUUCGACCUGCCACACAUUGACCCUAGUAGGCAGAGGUAUGAAGGCCAUAGGGGCUGCAUGGGAAGUCCUUAUGAGUCGAGAACGAAAGCUUUCAUCGUUAGUAAGUUCGACGAGCGACGGGUCGAGACUCGCCGAGACGACUACUAACAGGACACGGAACGUGACGAACGAUAUUGCUUUGUUUGUUCUAGAAGAUUUUGGAUAGCAAGUGUGUUUCAUUUCAGGGUCAUAGUAAAGGAUGUGACGAACUUCUAUCCUUGUUCCAGAAGUUCGGAGUUUGUACAGAAUCAGUAGUGCUGCAGUAGUUGAGUUCUAGUAAGUUGUAACGGUGUGUCAAACGAUUUUGAUUGUAAAACAUAUACUCUGAUAUUUGUAAAAGGUUUUGAAACUGCACUUUUAAACUGUUUGUUAAAGGUGGAACGGGCUGUGCUGGAUGUAAGACAUCGCACUAUAAGACCCAGGUUUCUAUGUAAUGUUUUCAUGUUUUGAACUAGACGUUUGUAUACGUCAAGAAUGGAAAGGCUUUUAUGAAAAUGAUUUUGU